rnacentral:rRNA from 1 species
GUAACACGUAGUCAACCUGCCCUGGAGACAUGGACAACCCCGGGAAACUGGGAUUAAUCCGUGAUAGGUCAUCCCAUCUGGAAGGAGGGAUGGCUUAAAGGGGCGCGCGGGCUUCUUCUGCGCGUCCGCUCCAGGAUGGGACUGCGUCCGAUCAGGCUGUUGGCGGGGUAAUGGCCCACCAAACCUGUAACCGGUACGGGCCUUGAGAGAGGUGGCCCGGAGAUGGACACUGAGAGAAGGGUCCAGGUCCUACGGGGCGCAGCAGGCGCGAAACCUUCGCAAUGCGCGAAAGCGUGACGAGGUUAAUCCGAGUGGUCCCCGCUGAGGGGACCUUUUGUCAGCUGUAAAUAGGCGGGCGAAUAAGGGGAGGGCAAGCCUGGUGUCAGCCGCCGCGGUAAUACCAGCUCCUCGAGUGGUCGGGGCGAUUAUUGGGCCUAAAGCAUCCGUAGCCGGUUCCGUAGGUCCUCUGUUAAAUCCACCCGCUCAACGGGUGACCUGCAGAGGAUACCGCGGGACU